UCUAUUGUGUGUGUGUGUGUGUGUGUGUGUGUGUGUAUGUAUAUAUAUAUAUAUAUAUAUAUAUAUAUAUAUACACACACCAAAAGA